GGGACACGUGGUAUCCUGUCUGAAUAUGGGGGGACCAUCCUCCAAGGCUAAAUACUCCUGACUGACCGAUAGUGAACCAGUACCGUGAGGGAAAGGCGAAAAGAACCCCGGCGAGGGGAGUGAAAAAGAACCUGAAACCGUGUACGUACAAGCAGUGGGAGCACGCUUAGGCGUGUGACUGCGUACCUUUUGUAUAAUGGGUCAGCGACUUAUAUUCUGUAGCAAGGUUAACCGAAUAGGGGAGCCGAAGGGAAACCGAGUCUUAACUGGGCGUUAAGUUGCAGGGUAUAGACCCGAAACCCGGUGAUCUAGCCAUGGGCAGGUUGAAGGUUGGGUAACACUAACUGGAGGACCGAACCGACUAAUGUUGAAAAAUUAGCGGAUGACUUGUGGCUGGGGGUGAAAGGCCAAUCAAACCGGGAGAUAGCUGGUUCUCCCCGAAAGCUAUUUAGGUAGCGCCUCGUGAAUUCAUCUCCGGGGGUAGAGCACUGUUUCGGCAAGGGGGUCAUCCCGACUUACCAACCCGAUGCAAACUGCGAAUACCGGAGAAUGUUAUCACGGGAGACACACGGCGGGUGCUAACGUCCGUCGUGAAGAGGGAAACAACCCAGACCGCCAGCUAAGGUCCCAAAGUCAUGGUUAAGUGGGAAACGAUGUGGGAAGGCCCAGACAGCCAGGAUGUUGGCUUAGAAGCAGCCAUCAUUUAAAGAAAGCGUAAUAGCUCACUGGUCGAGUCGGCCUGCGCGGAAGAUGUAACGGGGCUAAACCAUGCACCGAAGCUGCGGCAGCGACACUAUGUGUUGUUGGGUAGGGGAGCGUUCUGUAAGCCUGUGAAGGUGUGCUGUGAGGCAUGCUGGAGGUAUCAGAAGUGCGAAUGCUGACAUAAGUAACGAUAAAGCGGGUGAAAAGCCCGCUCGCCGGAAGACCAAGGGUUCCUGUCCAACGUUAAUCGGGGCAGGGUGAGUCGACCCCUAAGGCGAGGCCGAAAGGCGUAGUCGAUGGGAAACAGGUUAAUAUUCCUGUACUUGGUGUUACUGCGAAGGGGGGACGGAGAAGGCUAUGUUGGCCGGGCGACGGUUGUCCCGGUUUAAGCGUGUAGGCUGGUUUUCCAGGCAAAUCCGGAAAAUCAAGGCUGAGGCGUGAUGACGAGGCACUACGGUGCUGAAGCAACAAAUGCCCUGCUUCCAGGAAAAGCCUCUAAGCAUCAGGUAACAUCAAAUCGUACCCCAAACCGACACAGGUGGUCAGGUAGAGAAUACCAAGGCGCUUGAGAGAACUCGGGUGAAGGAACUAGGCAAAAUGGUGCCGUAACUUCGGGAGAAGGCACGCUGAUAUGUAGGUGAAGUCCCUCGCGGAUGGAGCUGAAAUCAGUCGAAGAUACCAGCUGGCUGCAACUGUUUAUUAAAAACACAGCACUGUGCAAACACGAAAGUGGACGUAUACGGUGUGACGCCUGCCCGGUGCCGGA
rnacentral:rRNA from 1 species